rnacentral:rRNA from 1 species
GACGAACGCUGUCGGCUUUCUUAACUCCUGCUACUCGACCGGAACUUCCCUGCUUUUGUCGCGUGCCCGCGUGGCGCACGGGUGAGUCCCCCGUGAGUACCCUGCCCUUGACUUUGGGCUACCUUCAGCAAACUGGGGCUACUCCCGGCUCGGCGCUCCUUCUGCCUGGUGGGUGUUUGACAGUUUCGGCGGUUGGGGAUGGACUCGCGGCUUUUCAGCUUGUUGGUGGGUCAGUGGCUUACCAAGGCUUGGACGGGUAGCCGGCCUGAGAGGGUGACCGGCCACAUUGGGACUGAGAUACGGCCCAGACUCCUACGGGAGGCAGCAGGGGGGAAUAUUGCACAAUGGGCGGAAGCCUGAUGCAGAAACGCCGCGUGCGGGAGGACGGCAAACGGGUUGUAAACCGCUUUCGCAGGGGACGAAGCGUGAGUGACGGUAAUGGGUAAAGAAGCAGCGGCUAACUACGUG